AAUCAACGCUGGCGGCGUGCCUAACACAUGCAAGUCGAACGCGAGAGGGGCUUCGGCCCCGAUUGAGUGGCGAACGGGUGAGUAACACGUGGGUGACCUACCUUCGAGUGGGGGAUAACGUCCCGAAAGGGACGCUAAUACCGCAUAACAUUCCGCUUUUGAACAAGUGGAAAUCAAAGCCGGGGAUCGUAAGACCUGGCGCUUGAAGAGGGGCCCGCGUCCGAUUAGCUAGUUGGUGAGGUAACGGCUCACCAAGGCGACGAUCGGUAGCCGGCCUGAGAGGGUGAUCGGCCACACUGGGACUGAGAUACGGCCCAGACUCCUACGGGAGGCAGCAGUGAGGAAUAUUGGUCAAUGGACGAAAGUCUGAACCAGCAACGCCGCGUGAGGGAUGAAGCACCAAGGUGUGUAAACCUCUGUUAGAGGGGACGAACGAUCCCGAUCUUCGGGAUGUGACGGUACCCUCAGAGAAAGCCCCGGCUAACUCCGUGCCAGCAGCCGCUGUAAU
rnacentral:rRNA from 1 species